rnacentral:rRNA from 1 species
UGGGGAAUAUUGGACAAUGGGGGCAACCCUGAUCCAGCCAUGCCGCGUGAGUGAUGAAGGCCUUCGGGUUGUAAAGCUCUUUUGGCGGGGACGAUGAUGACGGUACCCGCAGAAUAAGCCCCGGCUAACUUCGUGCCAGCAGCCGCGGUAAGACGAAGGGGGCUAGCGUUGUUCGGAAUUACUGGGCGUAAAGCGUGUGUAGGUGGUUGUCAUAGUCAGGUGUGAAAGCCUUGAGCUCAACUCAAGAAAUGCACUUGAUACUGGGCAGCUAGAGGACCGGAGAGGAUAGUGGAAUUCCCAGUGUAGUGGUGAAAUACGUAGAGAUUGGGAAGAACACCAGUGGCGAAGGCGGCUAUCUGGACGGUUUCUGACACUAAGACACGAAAGCGUGGGGAGCAAACAG